rnacentral:lncRNA from 1 species
AACAACCUAAUUCCCUUUUCUCCCAAAUCACCACCUCCUUCCACCAUUGCUCUACUGCCCGAAAAUUGCCUAUGGGCGGCAGAUCACCUCAAAAUCUCUCUAAAUUUUAAGCAGUUGAUCCCCAUCAUCUCCUUAUUCUUGUCCUACCAUCAAUUUCUCCAAAAGACCAUCUGAUUUCUUUGAAUUUCAGAUCAGAAAAUAAAAGUCCAAACUUUUCC